rnacentral:rRNA from 1 species
GACGAACGCUGGCGGCGUGCUUAACACAUGCAAGUCGAACGGAAAGGCCCUGCUUUUGUGGGGUGCUCGAGUGGCGAACGGGUGAGUAACACGUGAGUAACCUGCCCUUGACUUUGGGAUAACUUCAGGAAACUGGGGCUAAUACCGGAUAGGAGCUCCUGCUGCAUGGUGGGGGUUGGAAAGUUUCGGCGGUUGGGGAUGGACUCGCGGCUUAUCAGCUUGUUGGUGGGGUAGUGGCUUACCAAGGCUUUGACGGGUAGCCGGCCUGAGAGGGUGACCGGCCACAUUGGGACUGAGAUCCGGCCCAGACUCCUACGGGAGGCAGCAGUGGGGAAUAUUGCACAAUGGGCGGAAGCCUGAUGCAGCAACGCCGCGUGCGGGAUGACGGCCUUCGGGUUGUAAACCGCUUUCGCCUGUGACGAAGCGUGAGUGACGGUAAUGGGUAAAGAAGCACCGGCUAACUACGU